AAAUCGCACAAAUGCUCUAAGCACAGAUCAUAUCGAAAAACCCACUUUCCUCGUCUCACCUCUGUCGAUCUCCUCCAUCUCUCCGCCGACGCUACCUCCUCCGCGGCGCCGCGACCUGCAGUAGAAGACGCCGUCGACGCCGCCAUUCCGUCUCGACCUUCCGCAGACCCUGCUAGCCUUCACCACCGCUAUUGCAGAUGGCUUCAUCUAGGAGAAGACAUCAUCUCCAUUGGGCAUUCUUUUGAUUAUUUUUCACGGUCUGAUGUACUUGUUUAGUAUUUGUGUGCAUUAAGUCAUAUAUGGAUGCAAUACAAGAAAUUGAGAUGAGUGGUGAAGAGGUUGCAGAAGAUGAUGGUGGAACAUCUGCAGGAAUGGGUGAUGAGAACACAAGGAUUAUUGAAGAGAAGACUAACAACUUCACAGAUUUCAGGCCUGCUCCAUUACACGUGUUGUACGACGUGAGAGUCAACAUCCAACCUGAAACUCCCAUCUCCACUUUGAAGAACAUUUUGAAGGCAUCAAACUCUGAGCUCAAGUACAACCGCCCCGAGCUAAGGAAGGCUGAAGAAAGAUUGAGAAAGGCAUUCAUGGAGUUCUAUGGAAAGCUUAGACUUCUCAAGAGUUACUGUAUUUCUUGAACACAUUGGCAUUUUCCAAAAUCAUGAAGAACUAUGACAAGAUCACUUCAAGGAAAGCUUCAAGGUCAUACCUAGAGAUGGUUGAUAAGUCUUAUCUUGGAAGCUCUGAUGAGGAUUAUCGAGAAGGCAUUUGCGUUUUGGAGGCUGUUUGUGCUGUUUUAGCUUUUGGAGGCUGUUUUAGCUUUAAAAUGAGUAAAGUUGCCUAGAAUGGAGUCCACUGUACUAAUAAUUUGAAUGGGAAUGUUCACUGCAGUAUUUGCUGUCGUCCUCUGUUGAUAAAACAGCUCAUCUGUGGCAAGUAGGACAUGAUCAAUGCCUUGGUGUUUAUCCGCAUAAUAACUAUGGAAAAAAGUGGAGUAUUGGGCUGAACAGUUGGGGCUUUUGAAGGAGGAUGAAGGGGGCAGGAGGUGGCAGAAGAGGAUUGUGAGCUGAAUGUGAAGUAUUUGGUUGAAAUUUGUGUGUAUUAAUAGCUAAUUGUUGGAUUAAUUGUAGUAUUUCUAAUUAUUUUGAUUUUUGAACCAGAAUUUGAGUUCCCGGAAUCAAUAAAGUAGCCUUUUCUUUCUGAGUUGUUUUAA